ensembl:snoRNA small nucleolar RNA SNORD37
GCAAAUGAUGAGUUAAACAUUCUUCACUUUGACCUGAUUGACAGGUGAUGAUAAAUUUGACUGAAC